UGAAUCUCUGAACCUGCAAGCCAGCCCUGAUUAAAUAUUGUCCUUAAGAGUUGCCUUGGUCAUGGUGUCUGUUUGUAGCAGCAAAAGCAGUAAGACAGAUGUUGGUAUCAGGGUCUGGGGUAUUGCUGUGACAGGCCUGACCAUGCUUUUGUUUGGAAGCAUGUGGAUUUGGGGACUUUGGAUUUGGGAAUCAGUGGAAUGUUUCAAGUGGGGCUUAAUAGGCUGUCCUAGUAGGACUAUGCAAGACUUUGUUGCUGAGAGUGAUUUGAACUGUGCAGACCUGGCCCAAGAGAUUUCAGUGGAGAAGAAUUCCAGUACAUGGCUUAGAGACUGGUUUUGUACUGUUAUGAUGAGGAAUGGCUGCUUUUUGCCCUUGUCUGAACAGUAUACCUGAGGCUAAGGUGAAGAGAUUUAGAUUAAUUGCUUUGAAAAAGGAAGUUUCAAAAAAGCCCAACAGCGACUUUGUUCUCUGGUUAAAUCUCACGAAGAGCAUUUUGAACAAGCAUAGCAAGCUUAGAAAAGGAAAAGUAUUAAAUAUAUGGUUCAAAUAUUAAAGGAGCACCAGGAAGUGAAGUGGAGCUGAAGUCUGUAUUCACAGAUAUUAAAUUGAAUUAAGGGAGUGGUGAGCUUGGGGCAUGAUCCUACCCAGCUAAGUUUAGGUUAUGGUAGUACAAUCCUUUAAUCCCAGGAGGCAAAGGCAAGCAGAUUCUUGAGUUCAAGUCCAGCCUUGAACAGAGCAGGUUCUAGGUGAAAAAAGCUUAAGUCCAGGCAUGGUGGUCCAUGACUUUAAUCCAAGCAUUACAGGAGUCAGAGCUAUGCAGAUCUUGGAGUUCAAAGAUCAAUCUACAGAGCAAGUUCCAGGACAGCCAAGCUUAGGCAGUGAGGGAGUGGAAAAACAGAAAGCUGGUAAUAAAGAAGGGGGUGAUGUUCCAGCUUCACCAAGCAGCAGAACUUGACACCUUUGGCCAUGUGGCUCUGGCUUUUGACACAUGAUGCUGGGACAAUUAAUGCUGGUUAGCUGGAGCUAAGAAAUUAGCAGUGAUUAAGAAGAAACCAGCAUCUCUGAGGUGAAAUCUGAUAAGCAUUUUCUGAGAUUGCAAAGAAUCAGUAUUCCAGAGAUAGCCAAGGUUGAACCUCAUGCUGCAGCUGGACUUGCUAAUGUGUAAGAAUCACUCAGGUGGUACUGGUUUUGAAGGUAUGGAGGAGUCAUGGAGAGUAGCUGAAUGAGGCUUGACACUGUGAGAGGCCAGGGAAGGCCAUUGGUGAAGGUACAGCCUCAGUUGCUGUUGAUGGUCCAGGACUGAAAGGGGUCAUGCAAAGAAAGGUGAGGUUUAGCACCAAGAAGAGAGACUAUAAGAGGCUAUUGGUGAAGCCUAGUUGCAGUUGGAGAUCCCAGGGUAUCCCAGUACCAUAGAAUGAUCACCAAGAAUAGCAGCAGCAGUGGAGUGGAAUCAACAGAAAGAUCCUGACAGAAUGUAAAAGGUCACAGAAGUCCUGAAAUUGGCAAGAUAGAUGUCACUGUUUGCAGAACUAGCUUCACUGAUUUAGAAAAAUAGAGGUGCACAAUGCUCUGGACACUCCUUGAACCCGUGUGUCUGCCAAUGUUUUGACCGUUCCUUGAACCCAUGUGUGUGCCCACUGAUGAAGCCCAUUGCCAGGUGUUUAUGAUAUUGGUUUCUGGGAAAGAGUCAGAAAAUCUCCCCAGCAACCACAGCCGGGCCAAUCCUGAGUUGCUACACCUGCACCAGACUCUUUCCUUGUACCCCUCCCAUACCCAUUUCUUGAGACUAGACAUUGUUUAGAUCUGGAAAUCCCCUACUCUCGCCCCUUUCUCCUUUCACCUCUGAGGGCCUAUAAAAACUGGGACCUCUUUCCCCUUGAGGUCGACUGCUCUACCCCUGCGUGGGAUAUGAGUCAUCCCCAGAGCUCUGGCUUUCCCGGAAUAAAGCCUCAUGUGGUUUACAUCAAGCUUGGUCUCUUGUGAGUUCUUGGGUGUCCGCCAUUGUCCCAAGGCCUGAGCGAGGGGCUCCUCUCAGAGUCUUUCACAACCAGAGCCUCGAGUGCUACAAAGGGCAGAGAUGGAGAAGUGACCCAAGCCCUUUGGAGGAGCCCAGAAGAUCAUGUGUGGAUCCCAGAUACUGGAACAAGAAGCUGUAAAGCUGAUGUUGACUUGGAGACCCCAAGAUGUUAAAGAUGCCAGAGCUGUGGACAGCUGCUAAGUAGAACCAGCCCAGGAGAAAGCUUGUUGCCGUCAACAAAGUCAAAAAACAAGUGGAGAUCUGAAGACUGCUUUGACAUCAGACAAGGAGAUGCAGAGUUUGGAGUUUUCCUGGCUGGUUUCCUGUCUUUCUUUAAGGAUUACAGUUAAGUGAUUGGAUGAAUCUUAGAAGAGACUAUGAACGUUGGACUUUUAACAUUGUUGAGACUGCUAUAGACUAUGAGGGCUUUGGAAGUUGGACCUAAUGUACCUUUUAUUAUGCUAUGACUAGGCAUGGCCCCCAAAGCCUUGUGUUUGAACAAGCCUAUGGGUGCUAAGAAGUAAAGUGAUAUGCUUUGCCCAGGGAGUGACACUAUUAGGAGAUGUGGCCCCAUUGGAGUAGAGUAGGCAUGUCAUUGUGGGUGUGGGAUUUAAGGCCCUCAUCCUAGCUGCCUGGAAGUCAGUCUUCCUCUAGCUGCUUUCUGAUGAAGAGGUAGAACUCUCAGAUCUUCCUGUACUAUGCCUGCCUGGACACUGCCCCGCUCUCACCAUUAUGAUAACAGUCUGAACCUCUGAACCUGUAAGCCAGCCCCAAUUAAAUAUUGUCCAAAAAAGUUUCCUUGGUCAUGGUGUCUGUUCACAGAAGUAAAACCCUAAGACAUACAUAUUAUUAAAAGGAGUUUAAAUAGAGUUACCAUUUAGGAGAGACAAUACCCCAGCUAGAUAUCAUGACACCAAGUAAGAUCUUCAGUACCAUGAACAGGUUACAUUUUUAGCCAACAGGGGUCUCCUCCCUCCCUCCCCCCCCACACACACUGUACAUAUGUAUGUAUGUAUGUAUGUAUGUAUGUAUGUAUGUCUUAUUGGCUUUCUGGCUUUAUAAUAGAAGUUGAAGCCAUGAAAUAUCUAUGGACAGAUAAGGUGAUGUGUGUGAGCAUGCAUGUGGAGGUCACAGAACAACUCUGUAGAGUCAAUUUCACCUUCUGUCCUGCAGAGGUGGCACCUUCCUUAUUUCUGCUGUAUACUCCAGGCAAGCUGGCCAAGGGCUUCCUGAUAGCCUUCCUGUUUCUGCCUCCUAUUUUGUCAUAUGCAUGCUGUAGUUACAGAUGAAGACUAAAGGUACAAAGUUGUAAAGUCGUUUGUCAGCUAACAGCAAUUUAACUUCUGUCUGUUCUGCAAUGACUUUUCCUGGUGAGACACAACACAUACAUAUGACCCCACGUAGAGAGCCUGUGGCUGACCAAACUGGAUAUCACCAAAGUAUAACUGGUGAACCAAUGAACUUUAUAAGGGUUCUUAACAGGAAUGUGGGUGAGGGAUAAAGGAGCAGAAAUGACUCAAAGACACCUACAUCGUCAAAGCCUACCACAGCAUGGGUGACAGAUCACAAAACAUGGGAGCCCAGAGCCUACUCCACAGACAGCCAGACAGGUUGGAGAGUGUCCUUUCCUCAAUUGGUCUGAACCCUCUCCAGGCAGCUCUAUGGUUUCUGCUGCUUCCUGGUCUGAACUCAAGAGUCUCUCAAGUUUGGUUUAUUUGAGCAUGACCUUGAGCAGCCUUUGCUCUUGGGAGGGAGGGGCCCAGUAAAUCUGGUCAGUUUCAGAGACUUCCUUUCUGAAGCUAUUUUGAGUUAUCUUCUAUCUUAAAGCAGGGCUGGAGAGAGAGCUUGGAGGGCAUCGGCAUUACUGCUCUUCCAGAGGAUGGUGUUCAAUUCCCAGCAUCCAUGUGGUGGCUUACAACCUUCUGUAACUCCAGUUCCAUGUGAUCUUCUGCCCUCUACUGGUUUCCUUGGCCAAUGCAUGUACAUGGUACACAGACAGUCUACAUCUGUCCUCAGAGACUCCUACCCAGCUGGCAGAUACCAUCCAGGAACCAAUCUUGCCUCUACUACUGCCCAGGAACCGGCUCACCUCUCUAGUCCCAGUGGUCCUACAAAGCCAAAAGGCCCCUGACUUGCUGACCACAGAGAAAAAGAGGUACUUGUCUCUUCCUCAACAACGAAUGCUAUUAUGUAAACCAGUCUGCCCAGGUAGUAGAGUGGCUUUAAGAACAACCCAGAGCUGGGUUGCAGAAUCCAACCUUUGGGAGCUGACUCCAGUCAGCACUCUCAGCUCCUUCCUCUCCUCUGCCUUCCCAUCUCCCACAUGGUAAAGAGUGCCCCAUCUCUUCAGAUUUUUUUUUCAGAACAGAAUUACUGAGUGAACCAGAUGCUUCUGACAGUAUUCCCCCAGGUCUCCUAUAGUCUCAGCUGCUCCCCCAGGUCUCCUAUAGUCUCAGCUGCUCCCCCAGGUCUCCUAUAUUCUCAGCUGCCAGCUUACACCCCUGCUUUGGAUCAGCAUUCCACACCCGCCCUUUGCCAAUAUGUCUACUCAGCAGGAAGCAGCUUAUGUGAAAUACUGUCACCCCUUAUCAUCAAUAAAGGGCUGAACUGUUAGGUCUCUAAAUCAGGCACCAGCGUUGUAGUGCUGAUGUCAAGGACUCUAGCUGGGUUCUGUAAGGAAACAAAAACCUAAAGCAUUUCUCAGAAGCCCUUAGAGGCCAGCUGAAUAAACCUAACAGCAACUGUCAGCACCUUGUCUGCCGGAAAAAGUUCCCACACUAACCAUCUGGCUGUUUCAACUUCUGAACAUCCUGCCACCCCCUGGCACAAUACAUUCAUAUAAAACACAACAAUCUUUUGCAGCUGAACACUGUCCUCCACUGUGAAAGGCAGCUAGUUGGGGUUCUCUCCACAGAGAGUGGGAGAGUGUCUUGUUUUGCACCACAUACACCAAAUAACUGCUCCUAAAUAAAUAUACCACUUGUAUACCACCAAUUCCACAUCACAAUUUAGUUUUAAAUAUGAACUAAUCGAAGCUGGAGGAAGAGUAAGCAAGACUGUAUAUUAUUGGCUAUCAUGGUGAGACAGGCUGACUCCAUUACAGGCUUCAAACUGGCAGUUUGGGGCACUAGACCUAAAUCUCUGUUUCCAAGAAGUGGGGAAGUCCAGGCCUCAGAAGCUGCCCAGCCUCCAGGCCUGAGGUAAGCUGGAUGGGUCAGCGGCAGUUUCUAGACUUCUUCAUCAACAGUUUCCAGGCUUCCCCAGUAACAGUUUCCAGCCUUGCCCCCCUCCCCGGCCCCCAAGCCCCAGCAAUGGUUCUGGAAUGUACCUAGAGAUAGAUCCAACAGGUUAAGAUAGAGGUCACCUACCCUUCACUGGAAUUCCCCUAAUGUGCUUUAAAAUGGGCAUGUGAGCUCAUUUCAGGACCUCCACCUUGGAAGAUGGUAGACUCAGCAUGUUGGACUUACACAAAACAAAAAAAAAACAAAAAAUGCUCUCUGGUUUUGCAUACUAUGUGAGUCCAGGGUAUCAUUCUUCGGCGAAUCAUGGACCCUUAUCAUGGGUAUUAAGUUUGUUAGGGUUUCAUAUGCUCAGUAUAAUUGGUGGGACCCAGGGAGGCAGAGGGGAAGUUUUGUAUCACACGAGAUGAAAACUGAGGAGGCAAGAGAACGUGUUAACAUGGAGUGAUCCUGAAACAAGCUAACGAUUGCAGAAUUAAGGGCAUCUUUCAACUGCCAUGUGGCUUCCCACUAGUGUAGCAGAUGGGGGUGUGGGAUGUCUAUCUUUCAAAAUAGAAGUGUCCUUUAGAAAUAUGGCUCUAUUACCUGUCCUCUUUCUCCUUCACAGUGUUGGACAGGAAGUAGGGAAAUAGUUCCAGCAUUUCGUAUACCUCAGUUUUAUACUGAUCAUAUAAACUGCAACCUAAUUACUUUUCCCUGUCCUUCUACAUGACUGUCAAUUCCUUGUGCUGGAUAGUUUUUCAGUGUCUGGUUAAUAGAAAGAACUAUCACAUAUUGCACUUUACUAUCAAAUCGGGUCCCUCAAUGCCAGAGUACCCAAAUGCUGGUUUACACAGUGUUGAUUCCAGAUGUCUGUCUGAUUGUGCUGUGUUUGCAUAUUAUCUUUAUCUAAGCAGGGAGUAUAAUUCAGUGAUAGAGUGCCUGCCUAUCACACAGAGGCACUGGUCUGGAAGAAAUAUGUUUACAGGUAUAUGAAAGCAUGCAUUUCACUGUGUGCACUACUCUCACAGUGUGUCAGAACAAUGUCUUUGACAGCCGAUUGCAUCAGCAUAAGUUUGUCUCUUUUCCCUGUAUCUCCUGUUGCCAUGAUAAUACACAUGUAUGCUCAACAGCCCAAGCCAUAAACUUGUCCAGACCAAAAAAAAAAAAAAAAAGGAUGUUUUCGAAAUCUUCAUGCAGCCACUGCAAAAGAGCAGCUAAUAAAUUUAGUUAACUUACAAUUUUUAAUAAACAUGGUUAAUUUAGAGUUUGAAAUUAGAAUUAGUUUCAUUCUAAAGCUUAUUUAGAAAACUAUAUUUGCACUUGAUAGUAGCAAUGAACAUGCAGCAUAUACACAGUUAUACUUUUUCCUUCUACUGAAUAAAUCAUACAUAUCUAUUACAAUUCCAUCUUAAACUAACGAGUGCAGUGAUUCAAAUAAAUCAACUUUAGCCCAAGGAAAGAAAAACUAUCAAAGGUAUUUUUUUAAGUUUAUGCUAAAUUAAUCAUGUAAAGUUCAAGGUACUACAUUCUAAAUGGAGUAGGGAAUGCAGUAUAAUUAACUCAGAGUUGAAUGUCAACCAAAUUGAAAAAAAAGUUUAGCAUAUCAAAUACUGCCCUUACCUCAAUAUUUACAAAAGAUGUAUUCAUCUCCAUUAUACCUAUUCCUAAAAUGACAUUUAGUGACAGAUUCAUAUGAUUUGUAACAGUCAACUUUAAUAUGCAGCUGAUUUUAAUAUAUAUAUAUAUAUAUAUAUAUAUAUUUUAUAUAUGAGCACUUUAUCUACAUGUACACCUGCAUGCCAGAAGAGGGCAUCAGAACUCAGUAUAGAUAUUUGUGAGUCACCAGGUACUUGCUGGGACUUGAACUCAGGACCUAUGGAAGAGCAGUGGUGCUACAGAACCAUCUCUCCAGCCCCCAAUGCAGCCGAAACUUUUAACAAGAAUUUUUGUGUCAACCACAAGGUCAGCAUAUACAUGAAGAAUGACGGCAUUUGUUUCAUUUUGGAGAAAUUUAAGAAGUCACUCCUCUUUUUUUUUUUUUUUUUUUUUUUUUUUUUGAUUGUUUGAGACAGGAUUUCUCUGUGUAGUCCUGGCUGUCCUGGAACUCACUCUGUAGACCAGGCUGGCCUCGAACUCAGAAAUUCACCUGCCUCUGCCUCCUGAAUGCUGGGAUUAAAGGUGUGCGUCACCACACCCGGCGUUACUCCUCUUAUUAAACAAUGUAGUCACUUAAAUGGUCCUUUAACAUUUAAGAAAUAAAGAACUGAGUCUAUGUUCAACUGUUUAAUCUACAUGAUUAGGUACUCCACUGGUCUCUGUUGACUCUUAGCAAGAGAAAACUCAUAUACUGUUUGGUGAUGAUAAUAUAGAUGCUAGAGUAACCACAGGACUGAAUGAGAACACCCAGAGCAUCCCUGCCACAGGGAGCUAAAUGCCAGCAGCAUCCACAGGGCCCAGUCACUUCUUGCUCUGGAAGGAACAGAAAUGUAGGAGUUGGGAACAAUAAACUUCUUGAAGUCCAAUAGUUACUGUUACAGGACUUAUCACUUUCAGAAAUCUGGGUUGAAGUCAGGCAAUAUUUUCAAAGCUAAGGUUUUGGGUUCCUGCUUAAAAGACUGCUGGUUCGUGUUUUUGAACACUCAUAUAGACAAGUGGAUGGUAGGACUAGAAAGACCCAUGUACAAGCUUAGUAAUUGUUAAAUCAUCAGAAACAUGGGAUUUAAUACACUUGUUAAGUUAUACUUGAAAGUAGUAUCACUUAUUUAGAAACAGCAAAUGCUGAACUGCUUUGAAAUGAAUUAAUAAAACAUGAUACAUUAGCAAAUUUUUUUUAGUAAAUUAAAAGUAGAAUUCUGAAGAUCCUUUCACCUUCCACCACCCUACUUCAUGAUCAGGACAGUUGCUGUUCAUAUGGAUGCUCUUUUUAGAGUCUCUUGGAGUCAAGAUGAACAGCCCCAAAGUUUGCACAUGGUACAAGACAUAACUGAGUCUAACAUACCAUAGCUAAGGCCAGACAUCUGUUAUUUUUGCCAAUGAGAAGUCAAAUUUUUAUAACAGAGAGUUUUCAUGACUGAUUUGGGGAAAUGGAUUUUGUAAUUUUAAAACCUUACAAUGGUAUUUCUUAAAAUAAUAGAAACUAAGAGAUUUAAAUUAUCCAUAUCAUGCAGUUCCAUUUCUAUAUACUCUUCAAAAAAAAAAAAAACAACAACAACAAAAACAAAACAAAACAAAAAACCCUCUUUUCCUGCCAAGCCCAGAGCAAAUACUUAGAAUGGAUGCUGUUACCCAAUUUUUCCUGCAGUUUUCUCAUAGAAUAACAACAAGAACAAAUAAACAAAUAAACAAACAUACCAUAAUUAAAUUGUCAAAGGUAAUUUUUUUCAAAACUUUAGAGAUUUGCACAGACAUUUUACAUAUCAUGAAGCUAUCUUGCCUCUGGUCAAUAGCUUUCUUAUAUAGAAAUUACUUAGACUGGUUUCAUUCGCAAGAGAUACUGAUGGGUUUAAAUCCAUUGAUUGCACUAUUACAUGAAAAAUCACAUUAAGAUCAUAUAUGAGGACUCUAAAUACCCAGAUAUAUAAAGCUAUCAAAGCAAAGAAAGGGAUUACUUUCCUGACUAUAGACACUGAGGAUGUAUGGAAACUUAAUCUGCCUGGUUCUCAUUCUGUUGCCCAGGUUAGCCCAGAACACCUGGGUUCAAGUCACCCUCUCUCCUCAGCCCCCUAAUAACACCAACAUUGACUAUCCCCUUUUAAAAUAAAAAACUUGCCUCUACUUUUUAUUAUCUAGCUGUCUUAGUUAGGGUUUUACUGCUGUGAACAGACAUCAUGACCAAGGCAAGUCUUAUAAAAAACAUUUAAUUGGGGCUGGCUUACAGGUUCAGAGGUUCAGUCCAUUAUCAUCAAGGUGGGAGCAUGGCAGUAUCAAGGCAGGCAUGGUGCAGGAGGAGCUGAGAGUUCUAGGUCUUCAACCAAAGACUGCUAGUGGAAGACUGACUUCCAGGCAACUAGGGUGAGGAUCUCAUGCCCACACCCACAGUGACACACCCAUUCCAACCAGGUCACAUCUUAGUCCAGCAAGCUUACCCUCUGAGCACUUGCUGCAGGUUACAGCUGCUGGGUGACGUUUCUCAACUCUUUAUAAAAGCUGCAUCCUUUGUCAUAUAAGGUCAUCAAGGUCUUUUUUUACACCUAUUCCAACAAGGCCACACCUCCAGAUGGUGCCACUGCCUGGUCCAAGGAUAUACAAACCAUUACACUAGUCUAGAGUGAUUAUGUAGAAAUAACAUAUGUCCUAAUAACCGGAUAGGGUAGUGAUCCUUUUAAAGAUUUGUUUUCAUUGUUUUAAAAUUAUGUGUAUAUGUCUCUGUGUGUAUAUGUGCACAGGUAUGUAGAUGCUCUCAGAGAACAGUGAGCCAGAUCACUCCAGGACCAGAGCUACAGGUGGUUCUGAGCCAUCUGAUGUGAACACUGAGAAGCCAACUCUGGUCCUCUGCAAGAGCAGUGCCUGCUUUUAACACCUGAGCUAUCUCUUUAGCUCAAAGAAGCCUGUUAAACCUUACAAAUAACCAAAAAAAAAAAAAAAAAAAAAAGCAGCUAUCUUUCCUAAUCCUUAUUUUACACCCAACAUAUAUAAAUAAGAUGCAUUUUAUAAGUUAACUCAAAAUACAUUUUUAAAAGGGUACAUGCACACUCAAUAAGAAUCCAAAGGCAAAAUAUGCUCUAGCCUUGUCCUUCCUGUGUAUAAUAGUGAAUGCUAUGACUUGUCCACCUACAUUCACCAAAGCUUCUCUAGAAGCCAGGGGUGUGUGGCCUGCUUGUAGCUAACCUGCUUGAGGUUCUGGGAUCAGUUGCCAGCAUCCUCCCCCUAGAACAGUCAGAACUAAGGUAUAAUAAAACUUUUUAAAAAUAAUAUCUAUUAAUAUGGCAAAGGUUUGAGCUGUCAUUUCUAUUUAUUUAUUUAUUUAUUUAUUUAUUUAUUUAUUUAUUUAUUCAUUCAUUCAUUCAAUGGAAAAAAUGCUCUAAAUUCCAAAAUAGAUCUCAUGGUGUAGAGCUGUCAUUUCUAAGAAAGUAAUGUAGUUUAUACACGCAUAUGUAGUUCUUCACGACUAAGAGGAAACAGGCUUCUUGUGAAAAAGGCAUCAUGUCCAAGAAAUUUGCAGUUGUUCUUAGAAUAAGACAUCCCAGUUUAAGAAUAUUUCAUGCCAAGAAUGAAUUUAUUCAAUCUGUUUACAUAACAUUUUUCUGGAAUUUUUUCAGUAGAACUUUGUCUUAAAUCACCAAGUGAAUAUGUUUAGACUAGCUAAUAGUUCUCACAUAUGCAUAUUUUCUUACAAAAUGAUAGCAGCAGGCCCACUAAUAUGGGAAUCAAAUCAACGAUGGAAGUGACAGGGAACACAGAUCGUGACAUGGGAUAUAUACAAAGAAGCCCCAGAUACAACUCAACUUCUCUAAGUCAGAUCAGGCUUGGGAGGACAGAAACAGGCCUAGCAAAUCUUUAGUCUUAGAUGACAGAAACAAGACGAAAGGCUCUCCUGAGAACACAGAGCAUAUCUGAUCCAUCACAGGGUCCAGCCAAGCCCAUUGUGGGCGGUGUCACCCUAGGCUGUGGCCUGGGUUUUGAAAGAGGGAAGCCAGAGCUAGUUAGGGCAAGCCAACUAUUCAGCAGGAUUCCUCCAUGGCCUCAUUUUUUUCCUACCUCCAAUCGCCUGCCAAAUAAACUCUUUCCUCCUCCAAGUUGAUUUUGGUUCGUGUUUUAUUACAACUGAAAUCCAACAGCUAUCUAAUUUGACUUAAGGCCAUUCAACAGGAGGGAAAUCAUGCCUGAGAGUAGAAAUCCAUCAGCACCACUUCUAUUAAACCAGCACAAUUCUUAACUACAUUCUAAAAUUUACACUUAUGCCCACAGAUAAGUGUAGCGCUCACCCCUCAUCAAAGUAGCCUCUGUGCAGCAAAUGGAAACGAUUACAGAAAACCACAACUGGACUUAAUGCAGAGAAAGACCAUGAGGAGCCCAGCUCCCAAGGGUAAAUCUUCAAUACAACUGCACCCAAGGCCAGGGAACAAUUAGAGCCAGUGAGUUUCAGAGACUGUAACAGUCAAAAGACUGGAAUGUCUGUUGUGAAACUGUGUCUUCUAAAAAGGGUUGCCUAAGUAAGACCUAAAAAAAUGACAGUAUCAGCAGACAUACUAAUGUAGAAGAGACAAUUUCAUUAAGUCAUAGUGUUUCUACACAAAAAUCUCUGACAGGCAGAGGCAGAGAGGAGGAGGGGGAGAAGGCAGAGGGAGAGAGGGAGAGGGGAAAAGAGAGUGAGAGAGAAGCAUGGGGGUGGGGGGUGGAAUGAGCCUCUCCUAAGGACCAGCCUAAUUGGUUAUCCAAUACAAAGUGGUCAGCCCACUGAAACCAUACACUCAAACAAAAAUGGAUUCAGGUUAUAUUUAUAUGUGUGCAUCUAUGCAUUUAUGUAAUGAUAAUAAAGAAAGAGAGGCCUUUUUGAUGGAGUAGACAUGAGAAGGUUGGUGGGAGGAAACACGAAGGGUUGGAGAGAAGAGAGGAAAGGAAGAAAUGAUAAAAAUUGUGCUUUAAUUAAAAUGUUAAAUUAAAAAUAAGAAUUAUACAAAGCCUAAUCCAAAGAAAAUUUUUUUCUGAAAAUGAAUUUUAACUUUGAAGAUUAGUUAUUAUCUGAAUGUUGGUAUUAUGACAUCCAUCAUAUUAAAUAACUUAUUUGAUCUUCUGUUUUAAAAAAAUGUUUUGCUAUGGUAGCCAUACCUCUCUGAGGAGCAACAUUGCAAAGAUCUAGUCUCUCCUACAAAGGAUCUGACAUUUCUGUGAUGACUUCAGUGAAGCUCUUUUGCCUAUAAUUACUUUUCUACUGUUCAUUAGUUGAUGGUCUCAUUCAUGUAGAAAAUUAAUUCACUACAUUCCAAAAGAAUAAAAGAUGGCCUAGAAAUACAGGAGUGCUUGUAAAUUUCCCGGCAAAUGGCUCAAUUCCUUCUCAGGUGACCCUAUCACUUAAUAAUUUUAAGGUGCCAAUUUAAAUAAUAGCAGUUAAAAUUUUAGGUUAUAACCUAGAUAUCACAAACUAUCAUCAAGUGUAAAGUUUUAUUCACAUUACAUGAAAUCUGUAUACCAGACUGCAAUCUAUUGAAUCAUAAACAUCUGAAAUUGGCAGAGAUUCAGAGACAGAAAGAAGUUGAGAAGAUGGCAAUCCUGAAACAAACAAGAGCAGGACCUCAAGACGCAAGUCAUGGCCAUGGCACGAGAUUUUCUGUGUUCUAUAGUAAGACCCAACAUCAGAACUGCCUCAAGACUCUAGAGGGUAACACACAAGCAGCAGAAACCAGUCACUACCAGCCAAUUCCUCUGGCAGAGGAGCGUAUCUGAUCUGUGUUUUCUCUAAUGCAACAUGAAAUAAUUGUACUGGUCUCUUGAAGUGAAAACUAAAUAAGGUUCAUAAAAAGCAGACUAGUGCCCUAUGUAUCAUUCUUAGUAACAACACAAGCCCCUGUUCUUAUUAUCAGUGACUUUAGCCCUGGUGGAAAGCUUGGCAACAGAUGUAGGACAGAAAAUACACACCUCACCUCACUGAAAAACAAAACAAAAACAAAAACAAAAACAAACCUGGAAAAGAAAGACUGGCUAGAGAGUUGAACAAAUCUGUUCAUUUAGCUAAUAAGAUUACAUUAUUUGCAAUUUUUGCUGUUUCUAGUUAACAUUUGUUAUUUAUACUUUUUGUCUUUUGGUGAAAUAAUUAGCACUACUUCAUCUUAUUUUAUUUUUUUAAGCUACUUUUCACUACCUUGGGAACUUAAUAACUGUUUGGUUCCCAAACAUUAAUAACAGAAAUGCAAAUGUUUUUAUUAAAUGAUAGUAAUUGCCACAGGGAUUGAUUACCAGGCUCAUAUAUAACAGGAAUUUCAGAGCCUUUUACCACACAGCUCUGGGUAACAUGGCAGUCAUUUACUAGGGUGUCUUAGUAUCACAAGGUAAGUAGAAAGUGAUGAAAUUUGGUAUAGGGUUUCAGUUGAGCAGAGCUUCUCAUGACAGGUAAAGUUUCAGCUAACAGUCCCAGAUAAACUUUGUCCAACAGUCUAAAAUGUUGGUCUUUCAGGAGGGAAGAUGACAAAGUGAUGGUAAUGUUCUCAAAGCCAUCUUAGUCCAGCAAGCUUACGCUCUGAGCACUUGCUGCAGGUUACAGCUGCUGGGUGACGUUUCUCAACUCUUCAUAAAAGCUGCAUCCUUAGUCAUAUAAGGUCACCAAGGUCUUUUUUUCAUUUGUCUAUUAAAUGAUAAGCUGUAACUUAACUGAGAAAGCCUGACUCUUCAGAGUGUACACCGGUUCUGGCUUAUCAUUACCUCAAUGAUUAUGAAGGCAGUUAAAACUACUCUACUGUCUUCAGCCAUCACUUCCUGCUUAUGUGGAAAUACACUUACAAGGUGAAAACUUACAGUCUUCUCUGAAUAAAUAUUCAGCCUUGGCACACACAUGGCAUUCUAUACUUUAAAACACAUAGGAGGUUUUCAAAGUAUUCACUGGGGUAUGUAUCUACUUUUGUGCUGGCUGAAUAGGUCUGCUUUUGAAUGAAUCUUGGUUGGAGCAGCAAUUCAGCCCUGAGGACAUCCCAAGAAGGAAAAAACAAAGGCAAGGCCCCGAGUCAUUAGGUCAAAACACAAUCCUUUGAGAACUGAAUCCAUAAGGCUUUCUCUAGCACCAGAAAUGCAGGAGGCAUGUUCAUGGCAGAGAGCUAGGGACGGUAGAUGGAUGGAUGAAAAUACUCUCUGACACUCUGGGAAUUCAGCAGGCUCUUUCAGGUGAUUAAUUUUGCUUUCUAUCAAAGCUAGACCCCAAAUUAAAAAAAAAAAAUUAGAAUUUGAAGAUGUUUGACAUUAAAACUAUCUUUGAGAAAUCAGCUUGGAAAAUGAUGUUUAUUCUUUUUUAAUCAACAGCAAACAACUGUUAUUGUAAUAUAUUGUUCCAGCACAUCAAAGCUCCCAGGGGGGUCCAGCAAAUGUCACCUCCUGCAGUGUGGCUAAAAGACAGCUUGCUUAGUGCUGAACAUCAAACGGUAAAUUUAAGAGGCAAAUACAAAGGUUAAGAAUUCGACAAGACUGAGAUAAGCUGUUUGGAUAGAUUAGACUUUGAAGAUUGAAUUCACUGACAGUAAAGAUCAAACAUGCAACAACAGCCUUGCUACGUUACUCAGUCCUUACCGAUCUGCAAAGCCAAACUCCCAUUUUUCCAAUUUGAAGACCAGACUUCCAUUUCAUCAUGCUUAGCAUGUCUAACUGGCCUGAAAGAUAAUAAUGAAUUGGAUUCUCCCUACAACUCUCCUCCCCAUAGUAACCAACUUACGGUAACUGUGUUAGGUUCAGAACUGCAAGGUCCUGUAAUUAAGCUUGGUCAGGAGCUUUGAGCUCUGGCUUUUAAUCUCACUUUUUUUUUUUUUUUUUUUUGGUUUUUUUUUUUUUUUUGGUUUUUCAAGACAGUGUUUCUCUGUAUAGCCCUGGCUGUCCUGGAACUCACGUUGUAGACCAGGCUGGCCUCGAACUCAGAAAUUCGCCUGCCUCUGCCUCCCAAGUGCUGGGAUUAAAGGCGUGUGCCACCAUGCCCGGCUAAUCCCACUAUUUUUAAAUACUGGGGAGGCUUAGCUAAAACAUUAGUUGGAACAAGAAAAAUCAGUUCAAAGUAAUAGUUUGGAACUGAUUUUUCUUAGCUGAUUUUGUUUUAAAUAUUAGAUAUAUUUUAGAAAAUAUACCUGAAAAACAUUUCUUGUUUCAACUCAGAAGUUUACCACAAAAUAAUUUAAAUGCAAUUUCUUAUGGAGAAUAAAUAGAAACGUGAAUUAUCAUCCUGUUUAAACUUAACUUUAAAGUCUUACAUAUAAUUCUAAUAUUCUUCAUCCUAAAAUUGUAGAUUCUUAAGAGUUCAUAAAUAUAAAUGCCAACCUAAACAGGUCUGUAGGAAAAUAAUGAAAAAGUUGUUUUCUUUGUUGUUGUUGCUUUAAUUGCUGCUGUUGAGACAGUCACAUAAAAUCAAGACUGUCAUUGAACCCUUGAUCAUUUGGGAUUGAAACAUGCACCACCAUGCCAAGCUAUAAAACAGCAUUCUUGCAGAUCUGUAUGAAAGCCUUAACAAAGCUUUAGCUUUAAGUAAAUAGUUAUGUACAAUGUUUUUUGACAUGUGGCCCUCAUAAAACUAUCAUAAACUUAUCAGCAGUGCAGUAACUUAUAUAUAAACCAAUAACUCUGUUCUAAGUAGACACACAGAAAGGCAAAGGCAUCUUUAUUUUUUAACCUUCAGUCACUCUGGAAUUACAUUAGGUGAUUGAAAUCUUUGAUAAUGAUUUUAACAUUUCACAAAUAGACAGAAAAGUGGAACCUCUAACAAACCAGAAUUUACAUAAUGGCUUCUAUUUCACAAUUGCUUUGGUAAGCUGCCUACUGAGUACGUACCAAGUGCUUUAUGCUGUCCAAAACUAAUCAAAAUAAACAGAAAAGCAAAGAAAUCAUGAGGCUCUACAAAAUGGCUUAGAAAAACAAGUUUUCUAUUUAUUUAAAAAUAAGUUUAUAGUUACUACAUUGCAGGGACAGGAAUUCUUACACAUACAUUCUAGUUUGUAUAAAAGGAUUCCAAGAAUUAUGCAUCAAAACUAACAUAGAAAGUGUCCACGGAACAGUAAAGAAGGUCCGAUCAGUAUGUACAAAAGAAAGAGCCUGCUACCGUGGAGCAAGGCUGCCACUUAUGACACGGUGCUCCAGGUCUAGAAGAAAUAAAACAACAUCCGUAAAGCUAAAUAAUUUUAAAAACUCUGUCACUUAUUACAUACAACAGAUCUGCUUGUGUUUAACAUUGCUUUCUGUACAAAAUAAACAUAAUUUUAAUUUGAAAUGUGUCAGUUACAACAUUAACCCUUUAGGUCAGUUGCUUUUUAAAAUUGAGCUAUAUUUAGACCUCUAAAUAUCCCAUGGUGGGAUUAAGUAGUUUUCUUAAUAACUUUUUAAGACCUGUCUCUUCUUGCUGUUUCAAUAUGGUCUAAAAAUGUAACAUUGUAUCUUACUUUUAAAUUUAUUGUUGUGAUAAACCAACACACACAUCCUUGAAAGUAAUCAGCAUGUGUAUCUGCAUGUAAGUGCAUGUACUAUAAUACAAUCCUGAACCUAUCUUCUUAGUUCUUUAAAUGUAGAAACUCAUCCAUAUACUACUAUGUAUUUGGUUUGUGCCAUAUAAGGUUAAUUUCCUGAUUUUUUUUAUCUGCAUUAAAAAAGUAUUUCAAAACAGAGCUAUUGAAACUAAAAAAUAUAUUUAUAGCUCAGAUAAUCUACUCACUGUACUUGUGUGGGUUGAUCUCCAGAGCGCUCAAAGUGGUACUUACAGUCUUCUGACUCAAUUAGACCUCCUCCUGGAGUACUGUACAUAGUUGAGAAUGUCUUUUCAUUUGGAUCAUUUUGAUAAUUAUAAUUAAAAACAAAAUAGUUUCUUAGUAGAUGCAUUAAUUUUAGUUGAAGUCAUCUAAAAAUCAUUUUUUUGGAUGGAAACAAAAGGUGUACUUUUCCCAAUUUUUAACCUAAGACAACUUACUGCCUAAUUAAGCUACUACUGUUAGCAGUAUCUUCUGGAUAAUAUGGGGCUAAUGCAUUCUAAAUAAAAGCAAUCUCCACCCUAUUCACUUUUAAAAUACUGUACACCUCCUGCAUAUAGGAUGAACAUUGGUAAUAGCCCUUUAGUAACUCAAGUAUCUUGGUCCUUUCAACCUACUCAAAAAUAAACUUCACGCAAACAAAAUAUUAAAAUCAGUUUGUUUUCUUAGAUAGAAAGCUUGAAACCACAUACUUUUAACUUACAUUGGAGAGAAGCUUAUAGAUAGCUAUGAUGAUACAAAAUGGAAUGUCAAAAUAAAACACUGUCAACUGAAACUAACUGUGUGAACGCUGCUAACAUCAUGCAGGGCUGAACUUUAUCUCAAUAACCCUUGAAGGUUCCAGUUAGUCUACUACACUACAGCCAAGAGGCAGUUCUGUUAAUGAUUAUGUAUGAGAAUGUUUGCUGUUCACUGUCCUACGUAAGUCAUUUUCAAGUGAAACUGCUUCCAGUCAAUCAAUCAUGUAUCUCCGAUGUGGCCUAACUAUCUGACAAAUGUUCCAUAGCUAUCUAAUUAGAGUAUGACAAUUCUUUAGUAACCCACCAACCUUUAGUUGUAGUGAAACACUGCAAAACAACAAUGGAAAUAAGGCCCUUAAUUAUCUGUUUAUGCAGAAGACAAAGACCUCUCUAGAGAGACUGUGAGGGGUGAGACCUUUGGAUGCUACAUCUCUACUUCCAAAGGCUGGGAGACUGCAAUUAGACUGAGUCUUUAAACUACUCCUGUGACAACACUGAAACUUCUACUAAACUUGGGCUUCGUGAAGUCAGGAUAGUAUAACAAUAUGGUUGAAUAUUAGAAAUAUAAACUGAGGCUUUUUGGUAUUGCUGCUUUUAUAGCCCUAGUCUUGAACUUGGUUUGCCAUUAAAGGUUAACUUUGAACUCUUGGAUGUUCCUGUCUCCAUGUCCCAAAUGCUGGGAUUAUAGGCAUGGACCACUCAACUCAGCCUGAAAACUGGUAUCUAUGUUCCAUGUACAUAAUAAAUUUCCUUUCUGAUAAACGAGAUGUUUCUUACUGCAUACCUAAGUGAGCGCUAACAACUCCUUCUGACGUACAAACAGUACAUACAGGAUGUUACUGUUGCAAAGAGGAGACUUUUCCAAGCAGUAAAACAAACCAAAACAUGAUGAUUUAAAGUUCAUAAUUUAUCUUCUGCAAUGUACAGAAGCUAAAUUAUAAAAAUAUAACAUCUGUAACUGGUAUUAAUAUAUCUUAAGUUUUCAGUUACAAAUAAUGCAAUCCAAGUCAUUUUACUUUACUAAGAAACCAUUGUCUAAAAAUGUCCAAAUACGGUCAUGAAUACACAGUGUCUUUAACACAGAAAUGUUCUAUUUCCUUGUUAUAAGAGAGAUGGAGAUCACUGCUCAGAGGUUGGAACUCUCUGUGCCCCAUUCUAGAGGUCCUCCACACUAAGACUGUGCGCACUUCCUUAUAUUGAACACACCUUAUAACUACAUUUAUUUAUAAAAAUGGAUUUUAGUCUAAUUUUCUACUACAAUGCAGAUAACAUCAGGAAAUUACAUUUCUCAAAUAGAUUCCCUUCAAAAGUAACUAAUUACUUUAAUGACUUAAAUUUCCAAUGUACACACUAUCAUUUUCAGUAAUGGUGAAAUCGACUCAUUUUUCUAUAACAUCAUCCGUUUCUGCAUUAUGAAGAGUAACUACUUAAUUUUAAUUAUAUAGUUCAAUAUAUUUGUUAGAAAAAAAUAAAUGUACAAAAAACCUAAAAAUUUUGAAAUUAUUUUUUAACUGUAAAAUCACAGCAAUCCAGUCAAGGUCUGGAAAAUGGUUCACUUAGUUUCACUGGAGGGUUUCUGUACAAAUUUCAUUAUAAAUGAUCUAAAAAGCCCAAAUGCAUUACUUUUCAUUCUUCUUCAAGACUGACAGUUAACAUUUAUCCGUAUUGGAAACAAGGAAACAAUUAUAAUCUAAUUACAUAUUUUGCCAAGGUUCAAUUAAAGACUUUAUUCUCUACAUCAGGGUCAUGCUGAUAUAUAUUUUCCCCAUCCUUCCUUUUUAAAAAUGUAGUAUCUGAAAGAUUUGGUUACAUCUUUGUACCAUAUCAGUUCUCAGAAAAUACUACAUUCUUAAAACUUACCAAAAAAAAAAAA